ACAUGUCUUCGCUUCCCUCCAUUAUUCGAUCCCCCAUCCGCGUUUUGUUUUCAGACUGAAUUCCGUUCCUCUUGCAUGGGCGCAGUGAAAACCCCCCAGCAGGCGCGGCGCUCAUUAGCAUACACGACCCUGGUUGGCUGGUCAACGCGCCGCUUUCCGCAUGAGCGCGGCGGAUGAAUUGACUCGACGGAUGGGCUUCGAGGGGGCAGUGCGGAGCCCGUUGUGAAUAGUUCAAUGUAUUCUGCUUCUGGCCACACAAAGCUCAGGAGAGUGGAGAUGGAGAGGGAUCCUGGAUGUGCAAGGCGGCUCCAUGUUUACCCCAAACUACUGUUUACUGCUGGGGGUUUUGGUUCUGAAAUAAACGUUGGCCGCAUGUAACAAAAACAUAAUCCCAGUCUAUUCAACGCAGAUAUGGAUGUCUGGUAGAUAGUCAUAGCAUUUUCCAGGCCAAUUAUUCUAUUAAUAAAUAUAAAUGGUGAACAAAAAAACAUACCAUCAAGCUGCAAACUGAAGAUUAAAUUCCAACACAAAUAAUAAAAAUCAGCCGUCCUAUA